rnacentral:rRNA from 1 species
GGGCGGCAUGGCUUACACAUGCAGUCGAGCGGCAGCGCGGGGGCACCCUUAGGGCGGGAGCGGCGAACGGGUGAGUAUACAUCGGAACGUGUCCCGUAGUGGGGGAUAACGCCGGGAAAACCGGGCGUAAUACCGAUAUGCUCUACGGAGGAAAGUGGGGGACCUGCAAGGGCCUCACGCUAUGGGAGCGGCCGAUGUCCGAUUAGCUUGUUGGUGAGGUAAAGGCUUACCAAGGGACGAAUCGGUAGCUGGUCUGAGAGGAUGAUCAGCCACACUGGGACUGGAGACACGGGCCAAAUCCUACAGGGAGGCAGCAGUGGGGAAUUUUGGACCAAUUGGGGGCAACCCCUGAUCCAAGCAUUGCCGGGUUGAUUUAAAAGGGCCUUCCGGGUUUGUAAAGCUCUUUUGGCCGGGAAGAAAAGGUGCCCUUGAAUACGGGGUGCUGUUGACGGUACCUGGCAGAAUAAGCACCGGCUAACUACGUGCCAGCAGCCGCGGUAAUACGUAGGGUGCGAGCGUUAUCGGAAUUACUGGGCGUAAAGCGUGCGCAGGCGGUUCGUUAUGUCCGUUGUGAAAGCCCCGGGUCAACUGGGAAUGGAAUGGAAACUUGGGAGCUAAGUGUGGCAAGGGGGGUGG